rnacentral:lncRNA from 1 species
UGUCGAUCAUCUCGUACGACGAGAAACACCACAUCACCGCCGACAACGAGCGGAGCGACGCCGAGGUUGCGAGAAUCUACGAGGCGUGGAUGGAGAAACACGGCAAGAAGGCGCAGAGCAACGGUCUUGUCGGUGAGGAGAAGGACCAGAGAUUUGAGAUCUUCAAAGACAAUCUCCGAUUCAUCGACGAACACAACAACAAAAACCUCAGUUACAAACUCGGUCUAACCCGGUUCGCUGAUCUGACCAACGAAGAGUACCGAUCUAUCUACCUCGGUGCCAAACCGAAGAAGAGAGUCCUCAAAACCAGCGAUCGUUAUCAGCCGCGUGUUGGUGACGCGAUACCUGAUUCUGUUGACUGGAGAAAAGAAGGUGCCGUCGCCGCCGUUAAAGAUCAGGGAAGCUGCGGUAAGCCUCCGAUCAUUUACAAUGAAAUCAGGUCUCCACUAGAACUAUUAAAGCUAAAAAAUAAAAUAUAAACAUUGAAACUUGGUAAUGAUAAUGUUUGGUCUCAAGUCGUGACUUUUAGAUGUACGUUUCUGUAAUAAUUGUGGUUAGAUUUGAAAAAUCGUAAACUCUCUUAGUGAUAUUUUAUUUGUUAGGAACGUUCUUGUCGUCUUUUAAACUUUAAAGUUGUGUAGUGGGACCAUUAAAUUGAUAACGGACCCAUACGAUAUCCACCUUUUAAAAGAAUUAAAGCAAGUGGUGGGGGCUAAAGUAUUUGAUUAUUUUGAUUUAACGGAUCUUCUCUUGAUCUGUUUUGUAGGGAGUUGUUGGGCAUUUUCAACCAUUGGAGCGGUGGAAGGAAUAAACAAGAUCGUGACAGGAGAUUUAAUCUCUUUGUCUGAACAAGAACUUGUUGACUGUGACACAUCUUACAACCAGGGUUGUAAUGGAGGUUUGAUGGAUUAUGCCUUUGAGUUCAUCAUUAAAAACGGUGGUAUUGAUACCGAAGAGGAUUAUCCAUACAAAGCUGCUGACGGUCGU